rnacentral:pre_miRNA from 1 species
ACAUGAUGAUGAUGAUGAUGAUGAUGAUGAUGAUGAUGAUGAUGAUGAUCAUCAUCAUCAUCAUCAUCAUAUUCACCUAGGAUU